rnacentral:rRNA from 1 species
AAGUCGUAACAAGGUCUCCGUUGGUGAACCAGCGGAGGGAUCAUUACUGAGUUUAACAACUCUCCAACCCUGUGUGAACUGAAGUCUGGUUGCUCAGGCAGGCGAUCCCCGGGGGGGAUCGCAGCCUCGCUGAGGCGCCUGCCGGAGGAUACCUAAACUCGUUUUAAUUAAACAAAACUCUGAGUAUUAAAAACAAAUGAAUUAAAACUUUCAACAACGCAUCUCUUGGUUCUGGCAUCGAUGAAGAACGCAGCGAAAUGCGAUAAGUAAUGCGAAUUGCAGAAUUCUGUGAGUCAUCGAAUCUUUGAACGCACAUUGCGCCCCCUAGUAUUCUAGAGGGCAUGCCUGUCCGAGCGUCAUUUCACCCCUCAAGCGCUGUUUCGCUUGGAGUUGGGGCUCUUGCAGCGAGCACCUGGUGCCGCGCAAGCCCUGAAAUUCAGCGGCGGGCCCCGCCAGCACACCGAGCGCAGUAAUAUUUACUUCUCGCUCAGGGCGUGCGGCGGAGCGCAGCCGACCUCUGCAAACUUUUAAGUUGACCUCGGAUCAGGUAGGACUACCCGCUGAACUUAA